GUGCCCACCAGCGGCUCUGGCAGCGGAAUCCUCCGCGCCGCUCUCCCACGAGUGUUGUGUUUCCAGUGACAUUGCAAGCCUCUGAAUAAACAUCCCCAAAGAAGGAGGAGCAAGGAGAGAGCCCCGGAGAGAGAACCAGGGAAAGAAUCAGGGGAACUAUCACAAGUAUGUGGCUGCCACUUAGGAGAGCAUCUCUGAAUUGUAAUUAAGGCUCCAUGGCUGUUUCAGGAAAACAGGUUAUGCAUAUUUA